UACAGAGGGGGGCAAGCGUUGUUCGGAAUUACUGGGCGUAAAGGGCGCGUAGGCGGCCCGCUAAGUCGAACGUGAAAUCCCUGGGCUCAACCCAGGAACUGCGUCCGAUACUGGCAGGCUUGAAUCCGGGAGAGGGAUGCGGAAUUCCAGGUGUAGCGGUGAAAUGCGUAGAUAUCUGGAGGAACACCGGUGGCGAAGGCGGCAUCCUGGACCGGUAUUGACGCUGAGGCGCGAAAGCCAGGGGAGCAAAGCGGG
rnacentral:rRNA from 1 species